UGUUGUUCUAAGCACCUAUAUAGGCUGUCUUGCUUAAUGCUAAGAAAGCGUUUGUCCGGCUGGAGAGAUGGCUCAGCCGUUAAAGGCUAGGCUCACAACCAAAAAUA
rnacentral:miRNA from 14 species